rnacentral:ncRNA from 1 species
UCAAGACGGUAGACUAGAAAUGCCGCUCUAAGUAGUAAUACUUAGAUGAAAACUCCGUGAAUUCGGUGGAACUCCAAACCAACCUAGCAGUGUGGAUGGUGGACAAUACCGAGCCAAGCCUAAUGAAUUGGUAGAUUGUAGUUAGGAAGGUGUAACGACCAGGUGGUGAGGAACCAUACUGAUAACCCACCCACGAGCGCGGGGCAUCCUAAUAGGAUGAAGAUAUGGUCUGAACUCUAUGGAGACAUAGAG